UCAUGGUAUCAAAACAUUUGUGUGACUUCGACAUUGUGUCUCUCUCUGUCUUAGCAGCAUUUGUGUCGCUGCUACGUAAGCACUAAUCACUGAUAAAUAGAAACAUAUAUGUAUAUAUUUCUAACAGCGUCUUUGAAUGUUUAAAUUUGUUGUCAUUAUUUCGCAUUUUUCGGCACGUCGUAAUAAUUCGACAUCCUAAUGGGAGAGAGCCCCCUUCAUUUGAGUCGGCACCAGCAAUCCCUGCCGGCUGGAGAAUCCAUCCCGCAGGCACUUCACUGGACGAACGGGAGCUAGAAGGGCGGCGACUACCGCGCAGAACGACAUUGGGUUGGGUUGCAUUGCCGACGCCGAGGGGGAUCGCGCGGCCAAGAUGUGGAGGCGGCUGAAGAGCGCGAAGAUGAUCAUUAGUUAGUGAGCGGUCGAGAACAGCGGCUGGAAUAUCCGAAAAAGUAAUAUCUUACGUUGGAACCAAUUUAAUUUGCUUGCCCUCGUGCUUAGAACAACAAAUAAGUUUUGUGGGCUCGACUGAAGACCUAAAUUCCGGAAAGGACUUUACCGUUGAAAUUCAAAUCGCCAGUCCACCUUCAGCAAGAUUUUACCGUAUAGUUACACAAACAAAAUUAGACCUUAUUGUAUCAAUUGGAGGUGUUAUCGGACUUUUUAUUGGAGCAUCUUUACUAAACAUUAUAG